CAAUCCUUAUUUCUGGAGAAAUUGACAGAACUGCUUAAAGAGGCUUUUGCUAGUAAACCUGGCUAUGAAGGAGUGCAGUUCCUAGAUGUGAGGCCUGGAACUAUAACUGUUGACCUUGCUCUGAAAUUCAAAUUUCCUACAAAGGAAAAAGAUGUUAUAACAACACUAAAUGCUGCUCUUAAAGAUGGAAAGCUAGGAGAGUUCAGUGUGAGUUCCAUUAAAGGGACUAGGCAUGAUGUGGCAACAACAUCACCAACUACAACACCAACUGACGGGUCUU